UUAAUACCAUACAUGCUAAUGACCAUGCAAAGCUAUGCCUCUGUGGGAAAAUCCAUUCCAUGUUUUAACCAUGGGUCCCAGAAACAUAGUCUUUCCCACUAAAGCUUCAAUAGUGUGUGAAGAAAUGCUUGCUAUGCCAUCCCUCUAGAUGGUAAACCAGUGGGCUCAAGUAUUUCCUCAGCUGCAGGUUUAAUUCUGAGUGUUAGAUGGAAUUGGGAAGAGGAUAUCCCAGGAAGAGAGAUGGAGGGGAGAUAACUGAGAAGCAAAGAAAAGACCUUCCCAGGAUCAUGCAGCUAGUAAGUGGCAAGACUGGGAUUCAUAAUCAAAUUCCAUGAAGGUUUCAUAAGAAACAAGUUCAUUAGAAAGGAGGAUGGAUUCAAGUAGGAGGUUUCCAGAAAGCUCUAAGGGAGAAGACCAAGAAGAUAAAUAAAAAAAGAAGAUAAAUCAAAGCCAUACAUUUGAAUUUGAGGAUUAUACACAAUACGUUCACAACUUUAUGCAAGACUUUCCGCCUUUAUACAGUGUCCUAAGAGGAUUCAUUAUGAGAAUAAUGUCAAUCACAGCUUUAACACCUUAGUAUGGAAGGAGCUAAUGAGAAAGCACAUUGGAAGAGACUAUGACAGUGGUAUGGAUGGCAGCAGCUUCAGCACUGAAGAAACCAGAUGUUUCCAAGGCAUUUCAAUUGUUAGAAGUGACCAACUUUGGGUUUAUUAUGAGAGGUCAACCUGCACCUGAAGAAUAAGAAUUGCCUCCAUUUCCUUGGCUGUGUACCACCAUGAUCACCAAAUAAAACAACCACUCAAUGAAAAAAACUAUGGAAAAAAUUAAAGUGGAAUGAUUUAAUAGAGA